AGGUGGUGGUGCACUAGUGCCAUUAUUGGACGAGGAGGUGGUCAUGGCCGAUGCCCAGAGAAAUGGCUUGAGGAGAUCUUUGGCGGUGGAUUCUCUCAUUGGACUGAUGUCUAAGCCCUCAACUUCACUUGUUGAUCACAUGACCUUAGAGGUAGAGGUGGCCGGUAGCGACAGACCGACUCCAAUCAGUGAGAGGCGACAGAGGUCAUCCUUGAAGGUUAGAUA
rnacentral:lncRNA from 1 species